CCUACGGGUGGCAGCAGUAGGGAAUAUUGCUCAAUGGGGGAAACCCUGAAGCAGCAACGCCGCGUGGAGGAUGAAGGUUUUCGGAUUGUAAAACUCUUUAAGUGGGGACGAAGAAGGUGACAGUACUCACAGAAUAAGCUUCGGCUAACUACGUGCCAGCGGCCGGGUAAAUCCGUAGGAGGCACGCGUUAACCGGAAUGCCUGGGCGCAAAGGGUGCGUAGGUGGUUUGACAAGUUAGUAGCGUAAUUCCGGGGAUCAACUUGGGAACUACUAGUAAAACUGGUGGGCUCGAGUUCAGGAGAGGGGAAUGGAAUUCCUGGUGUAGCGGUGAAAUGCGUAGAUAUUAGGAGGAACACCAGCGGCGAAAGCGAUUCACUGGACUGUGACUGACACUGAGGCACGAAAGCGUGGGGAGCAAACAGGAUUAGAUACCCGAGUAGUC
rnacentral:rRNA from 1 species